rnacentral:rRNA from 1 species
CACGUAGGCGGAUCGGAAAGUCAGGGGUGAAAUCCCAGGGCUCAACCUUGGAACUGCCUUUGAAACUCCUGGUCUUGAGGUCGAGAGAGGUGAGUGGAAUUCCGAGUGUAGAGGUGAAAUUCGUAGAUAUUCGGAGGAACACCAGUGGCGAAGGCGGCUCACUGGCUCGAUACUGACGCUGAGGUGCGAAAGCGUGGGGAGCAAACA